GACUCGUCUCGUAAGGCGGCACUCGGGAUAGUGACGCCGCGGUUGUUGUGUGGUGCACGUGUGCGUGUAAAUCUGUGCCUCUUCGAACACUUUUUUUUUUUUUUUUUUUGUGGUGAAGGCGAAACAGGGUUUCCGGAAGUCUCUCCAAAAUCUGUUUACAAAGUUCCAGCAGGUCCGUCAGUGUGUGUCUGUAUGUCACAGCCGGUGGCAGUAGGCGGACUCAUCCCUCAGCGCGUCUGUGCCGUCACGCUUUUUGGUUUUCAUUAAUGCAGCUUUGGUUCAGCGUCUCCCUUCGUGGUAGAGGGAGUUACGUUGCUCUUCCAGUCUGCUACACCUCCCGAGCCAAUCCCAUCAACACUCCCGCCGUUUAAAUUCUUCAGCUUUACCAAAUGUUCCUUCUCUCUCGUUCGUUUUUUGCAGGAAUUCCUUAACGCUGAUUCGUUCGUUCUGCUUACACGUUGUUUAAUAUUAACUAAUUUAUUGUUUGUGUUAUUUGUUGUCUGUUUGUUGCUGUUAUUGUUGUUGUUUUUUGUUAUUGUUCUGGUCCUUUAUUAUUAUUAUUAUUAUUAUUAUUAUUAUUAUUAUUAUUAUUAUUAUUAUUAUUAUUAUUAAUAUUAUCAUCA